AAAGAAACAAAAAUAUGGAAGUAACUCAAGUAAGGCUAAAAACAUAGUCAUAAUUUGUUUAAUCUAAAAAAUGUGACACUUACCAUUUUCAGUAAUAAACAUGGGUGUAUUAUUGUACCUAGUCUUAAUAAGGUUUACAAUCUCCUCCAUGCCUCUAGGAACCACAAACAAAUACUCUAACCCGGUCUGUUUGCGCAACAAAAGACAAACGUCGUUAUUAUCAGCUAAAAGAGACAAAACAAAUGUUGUUGGA